rnacentral:rRNA from 1 species
UACAGGGGGGGCAAGCGUUGUUCGGAAUUACUGGGCGUAAAGGGCUCGUAGGCGGCCAACUAAGUCACACGUGAAAUCCCCAGGCUUAACCUGGGAACUGCGUGUGAUACUGGAUGGCUUGAAUUCGGGAGAGGGAUGCAGAGUUCCAGGUGUAGCGGUGAAAUUCGUAGAUAUCAGGAGGAACACCGGUGGCGAAGGCGGCUUCCUGGACAACUACUGACGCUGAGACGCGAAAGCGUGGGGAGCAAACAGG